AGGACGAACGCUGGCGGCGUGCUUAACACAUGCAAGUCGAGCGGAAAGGCCCUUCGGGGUACUCGAGCGGCGAACGGGUGAGUAACACGUGAGUAAUCUGCCCCUAGCUCUGGGAUAGCUCCGGGAAAACCGGGAUUAAUACCGGAUACGACCACCUUAGACAUCUUUUGUGGUGGAAAGAAUUUCGGCUAGGGAUGAGCUCGCGGCCUAUCAGCUUGUGGUGGGUAACGCCUACCAAGGCGACGACGGGUA
rnacentral:rRNA from 1 species